GACGAACGCUGGCGGCGUGCUUAACACAUGCAAGUCGAACGCUGAGGCUCAGCUUUUGUUGGGUGGAUGAGUGGCGAACGGGUGAGUAACACGUGAGUAACCUGCCUCCUUCUUUGGAAUAACGCCCGGAAACGGGUGCUAAUACUGGAUAUUCACUGGUCUUCGCAUGGGGGUUGGUGGAAAGGGUUUUUCUGGUGGGGGAUGGGCUCGCGGCCUAUCAGCUUGUUGGUGGGGUGAUGGCCUACCAAGGCUUUGACGGGUAGCCGGCCUGAGAGGGUGACCGGUCACAUUGGGACUGAGAUACGGCCCAGACUCCUACGGGAGGCAGCAGUGGGGAAUAUUGCACAAUGGGCGCAAGCCUGAUGCAGCGACGCCGCGUGAGGGAUGGAGGCCUUCGGGUUGUGAACCUCUUUCGCUCAUGGUCAAGCCGCAACAAUGGUUGUGGUGAGGGUAGUGGGUAAAGAAGCGCCGGCUAACUACGUG
rnacentral:rRNA from 1 species